CUGAACACCGGCCGAGCAGCGGUGGAAAGAGGGAGGAGGUAGGCGGUGUCCUGAUGUAUUGGGCGUAAAGAGUUCGUAGGCGGUGUGUUAAGUCGGAUGUUAAAGAUCGGGGCCCAACCCUGAGAGGGCAUUGGAUACUGGCGAACUGGAGUGCAGUAGAGGCGAGUGGAAUUCCCAGUGUAGCGGUGAAAUGCGUAGAUAUUGGGAAGAACACCGGUGGCGUAGGCGACUCGCUGGGCUGUAACUGACGCUGAGGAACGAAAGCCAGGGGAGCGAAUGGGAUUAGAUACCCUGGUAGUC
rnacentral:rRNA from 1 species